rnacentral:tRNA from 1 species
GGGUCCGUGGUCUAGUGGCUAUGACGUCUCCUUGACGUGGAGGAAUUCGGCAGUUCGAAUCUGCCCGGACCCA